GGCGGUUGUCGUAGCCGUCCAGGAGCCUGUCCAGGAUGCGUGUGAAAAUGGUGAUGUUGUCCUUGCUGUCGUCCACGACGUCCGAAACGUGCUUCUGAGAGAGCCUGGCACAGGGAGCAGGGGGGAAAACCAGGAGAGAAGGCAGCACGGAAGAAGUGACACCAGGUAUUUGGCAGAUUGAGCCGUUUCAAAGAUCUCUGCCUCAGGGAAGAGGGGAGACAGAAAAAUAAGAAUUCAGUAAACAGGCUUAAAGCCUCAUCAUUAAAACACUUAGUGAACCAUCUCUGCAGUUUGCUGAACUUUCCCUGCUUAUAAAAACAAAUGAGCUUCCACAUUCCCAUCUCUGCUCAACACAAGAAGCCUGGAAGCCCCCAAACAAGAUGAUUUCCUCAGAACACAUUCUGCCCCAGGUGGAAUAAAACAACGAGUAAAUUCCUCUAAAAAAGCACAUCUCACUGAAGAAAAUCUUCAAUGCAGUUUUGCAAACACAAGGGGCUCAAGUAAUACAUUUGCAUUUUGUGUCUCCCUUUCAAUCAACAGAAAAGGAGAUUGUGAGUCCUUCUGGAACCACCUGCCUCUAAAAGAGAUUUCAGAUGGCACAGAGCAGCAGUGCUGUGGCUUCAAGCACAGCUUUCCCCAGCAGAAAUAGCUGUUAGGACCAAAACAAAUGGAAAGGCAGAAGAUUAAGUAACAGAAAACAAAAAGAAAAAUCUAUAGAGAUGAAGAGUUUUCAAGGAAGAUGGAAGAGGAAAUAACAGAGAGACAAAUGAGGCAAAAAGAAAGAUUAAGAGGCACAAAGAGGCAGCAAGGUGGCUGAGGAAGCCCAGCCAGGCAGGGGAAAAAAGGCUGCUGAAGCAUAGGGAUGCUCAGCAGCAGCUACAGGAGCCCCCCGGGAGCAAGGAAGCUCUGACUGGCAAAUUGGCACUAAAUUGAGAGGUGAAUAACUGGGGAGCACUGGCCAGAGGACAACCGUGAAUGCCACAGACCAGAAGGGGUGGACAUGCAAGUCAUGGUUCCAGUUACCAAGGACAGCCCUUUGACCAUCAGAAAUGUAAUGCUGGUGGAAGAAAAGCCCCUGAAUUGUCACUUUCCAACAUUUCUUCCCCUUUCCUUCCCACCCCAGCCUUAUGUCCUUUGAUGUGUGGUUUCAGCAUGUAUCAAGAAACAACUGGGGAAAAAAAAACAACAAAACAACAAAAAACUAUAGAAAAAGGAAUAGUAUUUAAGGAGUUCAAAGCUUAAUCCUGCUGCAUCCCAUCUAGUCAGGCUACCCCUGACACUGCUGGUGCACCUGUAAAUACACUGUCAAGUGUCAGUAAGGUGACAAGCACCAGAGCUGGUUUGGAGCUCUCUACCAAAGUGUUCACCCAACAGAAAACCCAGAUUCUGUAAGAUAAAAGAAAUGCAAAGAGUAUUUCCCAGCAAAAGAGGAAAAUUUGAGAGCAGGGUAUGGGUACUUCAAGAGUCAGGCUGAAUCAAUACUAUUUAGAAUGCUGCAGUUAAUUGAAAUAUUCCCUUUUGGGCAAUUCUGACAUUAAUUUUCAUUGGUUUCAUUGACCAAACACUCUGGGAAAUUUCCUUUCAAGUGCCUGAGGUCUGCUUCUCCAGGGGCACAUCCCACCUCUCACAGGAUCACUUGGCCUCUGUUUUUUUAGCAAAGCAACAUCUGGAGGAGCAGUCAAACUGGGAAGUUGAGCCUCCAGGAGGGGUAACACAGUGCUGAAAUUCCAUUUUCCAUAGGGUGAGGCGUGGUUGGGGUAACACCUGACCAAGCCUGCCAGAUCCAAACACCAAAACACGUCUGACAUUACAAACUGCAUCACAGCCUCCAAGAUUUCCAGUUGAAUCCAAAUCCUGGUUUUGGCUUUUCAUCUGGACUUGAACUCCCUACAGACAGCUCCCAGAGGCUGGGAUGGUGAGGCUGGCAGCAUGACCCUCCUUGCCAGGACAGCCAGAGCCUGCACACCCAGGCACAGGAGAGCAGGCAAGGUGGCAGAGAACCCCGGUGCUGCAGCAGGUCAGGUGUGCUGCCCAUGGGUCAUUACACCAUUAACAGCCAAACAGAUGAAUCAGAUUGAUUUUCUGUUCUUUAAAAUACUAUUAAAAUAUUAAAUGGGGUGGGGGGAAUCUCUCUUCCAGGUUAAAACUCAGGCAAGCAGAGUCCUUGCCCAGAAUGAAUUGUGCAGAGGCCAAAUCUGAAAAUAGGUUUUGUUGCAAGAAACGCUGACAACUGAUCUCAGUGAGAGCACCUCAAAUAAUGCCUGUGUCAGCCACGAUAGGGACUGAAGAGCCCCUGGGUGGAAGGCAUGGGGACGGGGACGAGGGGAGGGUCAAACACAGCGGAGACCCUUCAGUGCUUUGCCCUGGACUGCUUCAUACACCUACUGACUCCGGGAUAUUUAAGUUCAGUUACAGGACUGCAGCCUUGGCCAACAGCUCAGCACUCACCACCUUACCCAGCAUCAGCAGGGAGAGCCAGGAGCAGGACCAGGACUCCAAGGCUGAGGAGGGAGAAGGGCCCCAUUCCUGGGAGCCUCGGUGCCAUGGUGGCAGCGUGCAGCCACUGCAAAAUGAGCCUCCAAACCUGCCAGGGAGGGACAGAGGGGAAUGAGAGGAGAGAAAAGAGGUUUCAGUUACUAGGGAAAAGCAAACAGUUCAGUUUUUCAUGUUGGGCAACUGUCAGUAUUUCUGGGGUCCUGCAUUUAUUUGAAAGAACCAAAGGCAGCAUCGUGGCCUGGAGCAGUGCUGGCCCUGGGCAAGCAGGCACACACAUUAAAAUUCUCACCCCACCCUCACAGCAGACCCUGCAGCUCCCCAGAUGCUUCAGCAGCAAGUGCAAAGCUCUCUCCCCAAAGUAACCACACUGGCUCUUCCUCUACCUCACCCUGCAGGCUCUGACACAGCCUGCCCCUUGCAGCAGUCCCUGCCCUGGUACCUCUGCUACCUCGGUGACAUCCACACAGCAGAACCACUUGGGAAGUCUCAAGACCCAUUUUUUUUUCCCCAACAUCUUUUUCUAGACAGUUAAACCCUCAUUUAAUUCAGGUAAUGACACUGCCAGAAAUUAUUAUUAAGUUUGACCACCGAGGCCCAAGGUGUUGGGAGCGCUCGACGAUACUACACUUAGUGUGCUCUGAGUUUUCAUUAAUGCUCAGUUUUACUUUUAUUGUGAUGUUAUUGCACAUUUAACUGCCUUCUCCUUUUAUGUAUCUCAUUAUGUUGAUGCACCUUGGAGCAGCACUGCCAAGCAACAGCCUGGAUAAAUACAGCUUGUCGUGACAUCUCCCCCUCACAACGCUCCCUGUCUGGCACCCAGGGGGUUCAGCCAGGCACAGCCAGCCCCACUCUGAGCCCCCAGAGCCAGCAGUGAAGGCUCCAGUCAAUCACAGCAUGCAGAAACCAGGGCAAGGUGCUGGUGCCAGCCAAAUGUGACCUCUGGAUUUCUCCACUCAACGCUGCAGAGCCUCUGGCAGCUCCCUCCAGCACUGAAGGAGGUGCUGGCUGCGCAGCCAAACCCCAGCAGCUGGAUGGCAAUUCUGGCCCAGCAUGAAGGGGCAGGGAAACUAUCUGGGUGCUGCCAAGGAGCAGGGGGUUCUGCACAGGGAUGUGGGAGAGGAGAGCUCCCAGCAGAGCUCCUGUGCAGAGGGCUCAGCCCAGCAGCAUGGAAACACCUGGAGAGCACACACGUCCUCAGUGUGUACCUGGAGAAGAGGCACAAGGCCAGGCUGAGCCAUGUUUUUUAUCACAUUUCUGCAUUUAGCUGGUCUCCCCACAGCAAUGAGGCCCUACAGUCUCCCUGGAGGCUGUGCCUGAUCCUUGUUUUUCAGCUCUAGGAGCACACAAGCUGCCAGGCAGGCAGAAGAUCUGAUGAGGAAGAUGCUAGCUAAGGACAACAAAGGUGCUUGAAUUAAGUCAAAUUAGUGCUGAAGUCUCAUCUGAAGCAUCAGAACCAGCUCUACACACCUGCACUGGGAGCAAAAUCUGUUUUCACUACCAAGCAGACAUUUUGCCAGUCACAUCUCAGUUUGUUCACACUGAGAACGUCCCCAAAAUGGGGCUUUGCUGUGGCUGCACUCAGGGCCUCGGGGAGGACAACACAGCCUGGAGACCAGCCUGGCACUGUAUCCUACCACUUUCCUUUGGUCCAUGCCUUGUGUUUGUCUUGGGAAGCUGGACAGAAGAGCCUGCAGGGCAUUUUCCUCGUUCUGUGGCUACUUCACACUUGGAGAUGGAUUGAGAAGCAGAGCCAGUCCUGCUCAUCAUCCCGCUGCCAAGCAGGAAAGUUGGGGAAUAAAGGAGGAUUUGCAGAGGAGAUUUCACCAUUCAGGCAGUUCAGGGGAUCACCCAAAGCCCCACAUAGCCAGAUCCUAGUGGUUCCUGUGGCACAGCAGAUCUCAGCAUCACUUCUCCCUUUUCCUGGGGCUCUUGCAAGCCCAGCCACAGGCACACACAAGGAGCCAACUGGUGCAAGUGCUUUAGGAGCCCAACAGCUGCUGGCCACACAGCCUCCCUAAUAAAAUCAGUGUGUAAAACAACUCUCGAGGUUUCAACAGCCCAGUAACUGAGCUCCUCAGAUUUUAGCACUCAAGAGUAGCUCUUGGAGAGGGUGCUGAUGGCAGAGCAGGCAAAGGGGUCCCUUGGUGCACGGGGAAGGGAUGGGAACACCCACAAGAGUGCCUCAGGAAAAGCAGCACUGGAGCUCCUCCAGCCGUGCUGGGGCUCUCCUCGCGUUAGGCUAUUCAGCUGUCACUUCCCACUCAGGAAAGCUCUGAAUCAGCCAACGCCUUGAUCCGAAUACCUGCAGGGAUCCCUGAUCCUCGGGAAGGGGAGGGAGGAUGCAGGCAACAUGCAUUUAACUGCAUGUAACCAAGCGAGGGUUUAGGAAUGUUAAUUGGCUGUUAACAGCCUCAAAGAAGGAAAAAACCUAAAUCUCUUACUAGGAUUUGCUGAAGACAAAACUGCACAGUGUCCAUGAAGAAAAAAGUGCAGAAUACCAACAUUUUCAAGCUCAGAAAAGAGUGGCACAACUCUUUAGGCUGACCCCCUCUUCUAUAUGAGUUAAGGAACAACUUCCCCAGAGCUCCUGGCUCUGCUCUGUGUUUGUGCAAGAUGGAGUCUGGAGGGAUGGUGUGUGUGUGUGUUCAGAGCAGCCCUGCACUUCUUCCUUCCUCCAUCUGUCCACUGCUCACUCCUUAAUGGCACAGUUAGCAAAUGCACUCAGCACUAAUUGUGCAGUUGCUGUUAACCUCCACAGCUGAAUCCAAUGCAGAUUUCCUAAGAGCUCUGCUGACACCCUGCAGCUGGAAUCCAGCGAUACUUGAAGUUCACCACACAUGGAAUUUGGCAGGUGUCUUUAUGAGCACACACCUAAGGGCUUCACAAACAUUCCCACUCCUCUCCAAGACAAUCUGUCCAAUCUCCAGAGCAUCGUAGCACAACAGCACUCCAGGGAAAUACAGUCUUCCUGUUGGAUGUGCUGUGAACAAGGAAUUGGAAAAGCUUCUUUCCUUCCUUGCCUCAUGACAGUGACAUGCUCCACUCUCUGCUCACACUGAAGUGGGUUUGGGAACCAAAAAAAGUGCUGGAAACUUCCAAAUCAGCAAGGUACCGUAGUAGCUAUGCCAACAUUGGGUAUCUCCUGACUUGGCACGCUGAGCCUGAUCUUCCCAGAAAUCCUUAUUCUAGAAACCAUUAAAUAUUCUGAAGUGCCUUCCUAGGAAAGAGUGAUUAGCACAGGCUUACUGCUGACAAGGGAGAGACACAGAAUGCUGGAGGUGGAGACUCAAAGAUAAAUUUGCAAAAAAACCUGAGCAAACGGCCAGAGAAGGGGACACUGCAAUCACCAGAAAUGAAACGAAGGCAGAAGAGGCCCAUAAACCCACCUGGGCACAUUUGUGAGGGUCACAUGGGCAUCUCACCCAAAUUACUGCCUCCUGGGAAGAUGCACAGCCAGGGGAACCAUCUGAUUCUCUCAGCAAUAGUCUCACCAGCCAAACAGCAUUCAUAAACCAGUCCAAAGGACAAAUUUGCCCCAGCACUGCACCCAGAGAUGCUGUCCACCUGUGGUGUCAUGCAUGGACACCAGUGGCAUCAGCUGGAGGGGUGCAGAGCACUGACAGCUCCCACUCAGCCCCCAGGACCUGCAGCAGCUGCACAUCUUCUGUCAAGUCAGGUAUCUCAGGGAGGGCUGGGCAGUGAGGAGCUGAUGCUGGGAGCCAGCUGGAAAUCAGACUGGGAAGAAGAGGCAGCCUCAGCCCAAAAGGCAGGAUCAAAGCACUUCUGUGCAGGAGGAAGAGGAUGAUCCAGACCCUGGUGGUGUCAAGCACCAUCUGCCCACCUGCACGGCAGCACAGCCAAGCACAGCGCUCUAGGUGACCUCACAACACCUGCAUAUUUACCCCCAAAUUUAGGAGCACUUGCACAGCACAAGAAGCUCAUUAAAGCCCUUCCUCAUUGCACUGGAGCUCUCCAAAACAGGUCCCGGGCAGCAGGAGAGGUUCUUCAACACCCCUCAAGGAUUGCAGAAUCAUCCAGCCUGCACAGGCUGGGCUCUGCCCAGCUGUCCCUGACCCUCUGUGAGCACACCAGGCUUCUGGUGACCACUGUUGUGCCUCUUUGAUGCCGCUUUGAGCAAAGCUCCAAGCUCUCUCUGCAGAGACAGCAGCCAGCAAGUGCUCAGUGCAGCAGCAAUAAACACAGGCGAGGCACACACUGCCCUGUGUCCCUGCCGGGGAGGGUUUUCUUCAGUUCUCAGUCACUCCAGCUAAAAAGGAGGGUCCCUUGGAACAAAAACAUCUUUUCAUUUGAGGGCAGGGGCAGCAAUGAGCAGCCACAGUUCAUCUGGAAGCCCGGAAAUGGCUGAGUAAAGCGCCGUGGUGUUUCACAAGACCCCUGUAUCGCAUCCCAGGCUGUUUGCAUCCCUUUGUUCUGAAAGGAGCUGGCUGGGAUGCCCGUGUGUGCUGCACAGCACGGGCACAGACACCCAGUUCAGCAGCCCAGCCCUACCUGCAGCAGCCAGCACAGGGCCAGGCUGCCUUUGGGAGCCUGGAUCCAGCCCAGUGCUCUGCUUCCAUCACUUGAGGUUGCCCGGAUUGCUCCAGCUUGCCUCUAGUUCAGCGCUGUCUGAUGCUGUACAGAUGCUGCUGAAGGCCAGAAGCUGCUACAGCAUUUUAGAGAAAUCAGAGACCAAGAAACAGGCAGCAGCACCUCCAUCCACCUGAAUCCAACUUGCUGUUUGCCACCUACAUGGAGAAACAGCCCUGGCUCGCAGCAAGGGGCGCGUGUCAGAGGAACCACACAGUCCUUGACUCCUGAGCAUGGAAAUGUUUGUGCUCACCUACCCAAGAGGCUCACACUGGCUCAUCCCUGCAAACACACAGGCACUGUAGGAGCCAUAAACAACCUUCCUGUGAAUCUGCCACACACAGAAGGUAUGAGGCUCAUGUGAUGGUUAUCAAAUGUGUUGUCUGCAGCUCUGCAAGGGACGCCAGCAGAAGACACUUGGAAGCAGAGGCACCAGGCAAAGAAAUUAAAGGUUUAGUUCAACAUGUAAAUCUUGGGAGCAAGCCUUAAAGUGGAUUUCUUCUGUAAGUUGUUCUGCUGGUAACGAAGGAAUAAGGUCUGUGGCCAACUCCCAACCCAGCUUUAAUUUUCCAAAAUGAGAAGCCGCUUGACAGUUUUUCCUCAUCAAAACAAAAUUAAUCCAAGUAUUGCAUCUCUCUACUCAAAAACACAUCCAGAGGGACUGUAGAGUGAUUCACACCCACAACUGCUAUGGGAAACCGUUUGCACUCAUAGUGUAACAAGCCAACACUGAUUCACCCACAUAAUUACAGGCAGACACUGAUUCACAGCUACUGCAACUGCAGACAGACUGACUCACAAUCAAAGCAACUGCAGACAGACUCAGGCUCACAAUCACAACUGGAAAUACAACCGUGCUGACAGUAUUCACAGUUCUGUGUAUCUGCAAUUCCACGUACACCCCAACCCCUGGAAAACUGGCCAGCAGUGCAAUCACUGUGCACCAAGCCCUACGUUUUUUUUGCUGGCACUUUUGACCUUCACCCCAGAGCCACCUUCUCCUCACUGAUGGAACAAUCCCCACUCCUCAGCAGCCUCCCUGCCCUGGCAGCCCCCACAGGAGCCCAGCACGACUGUCAGAGCCUGGCCCCAGGAGCAGCCAGAGACACAGGAUGCACACAGGCACGGGGAGUGUGUGUGGUGCAAGGCAUCCCUGUACAUCCACUCUGUGCCACACACGGCUGCGCUGCCUCCGUGCUUCCAGAAUAUGAGUGAAUGCAAGCCAAGUAUAAUACAUUUAGCCCAUGGGCAGAGGAGAUGGCAAAAGACUCACCACUGGGCAAAAGCCUGAAAAGCUGGAUUAUUUACUACACUCUCUGGCUGGGUAUGUAAUUAUGUCAGUGUUCAGCCUGGGUAUUGUGCUACUUUUUGUAAACAGUUGGCAGGAAUACUCAGACUGAGAUGAGGGGCUGGGCUCUGUCUCCAGUGUGGAGGGAAGCAGGCAGAAGAGAACAUGGUCUACUUAGACACAAAAAAAACCUGAGGUGAAAGAACACGUUAAGCAGGAAAAGGCAAAGGAGAAGCUGAGAGUGAAGUGGGACAGGUGGCAGUCUACAGACAAAGGGAGAAGAAAGGAGAAAGAACAGAAGGAGAAAAGCUCCAUGAUGCAGACUUGUGAUAAGAAACUCCAAAGCGAGGAAAAGCAGCAGUCCCCCUGUGCCGAGGGUGUCUCGCAGCAGUGCAGACAAUGCAUCUGUGCCUCCCCACACACCGGGCUGGCUGCACGCUGAGAACCAGGAGGAGAUUCCAGGGAAAGGACACAGCAGCCUCCAGGCCAGCGUGUGCCCAGGGCCCAGGUGCAGCCGCAAUCCCUCCAGCUGCUCGGAGCCCUCUCGGAAAGGAGCAGCAGGCUCAGGCUCCAGCGCUCCUGCCUCUGAGCACUGCGGGCACCACGGGCACAGGCUGAAGGACAGCCUGGCCAAACUCCACUGAAACAGCAUCACCUCACAACCCCUCAAAACCCACAGCCUCCAGGGCACAGAAAAAGUUAAGAGGCAGACUACAGAAAGGAGAAGACUUGCCUGAACCACAAGUAGCAUCUUCCAGUUGUGGGCUGGUCCUGCCUCAGCACCUGCUGGUUUCUUCUUUGCACUCCCCAGAAGGGCACUAAGGGGAUGGAGAGGUGAGGGAGCAAACCUGCUCUGCUGUUGCCAUCAGAACAACUCGGGUGAGCAGCCACUGGGAGCUGCUCUUGCCAGCCCACGGCAGCGGGAAUCUCACCAGAGGGUCCUGGCUCUCUGUUUCUGUCUGGGGACGCUGCUGCAUUUGCAGCCAGUCAGCAGCAGAUUCGAGGGAGACACUACAGAUGCAAUUGGCCAGGGAAAUGAACUAUUUGUUCAAUUGUACUUCUCUUGUCCAGGCGAGAACCAUUCUGGCAGAAGGCAGAGUGAGGAACAAUGGCUAAGUGUUGCAGUGGGGACUGUCUGCCACUUAAUUGCAUUAGGCUAUUCCUUUUUAAUGAUCCACAUCUCAGUCCUAGUAACUCUGGGAGAAGGAGAAAAGACCUAGAGCUCUUUUCCCCUUUCCUCUCAUACCAGCACCAGAAACUGCAGCCCCCAAAACUCCUUUCCCUCCCCAGCCCAACACAGCAUCCGUGCCCAUUAGGCCUGGCUGCAGGAUUCAGGGGGAAAUUUGACUUUGCUUUCCUACACCUGUCUCCCCGCUCAGCCCUUCCCCUGCAUUCCCCGUCCGGCUCCAGCCAGGGGGUGCUCAGGAUCGUCCUCCUCCAGGCAUUUCUCCCCGCAGCCGCUCUCCCCGUUCUGCAGCCAGCAGUGCCAGCCGGGCGGGCUGGGUGCCCGGCGGGGAGCACCGGGGCACGGCUCCGCUCCGGACCGACACGCGCGGGACCUG